rnacentral:lncRNA from 1 species
GUGGGCUUUGAGACUCUGGGCUAACAUUCGAGCCGCAUCCGCACCCAUAUCUGCAAUAAAGGAUGAUCGGCACAGCCUAUGAACGGGGCCGUGGAAGCAGAGAAAGUUCUGGGGCUAACCUAGGCUGGUAUGAGGGAUGCAGGGAUGCAGAGAUGAGGAUGACUCGAAGGACACCUAAGGCCAAAAGGGAAGGACCGAAGAAACUCCCGUGCAAAGUGAAAUCCCCGAAGGGGGGAGAUGGGUUUAAAUAGGCGAUGGGGUCCGAAGCAAUAAUGACUGCAGGACUCUUCUGGCCAGUCCAUGACCGCCGCGUGGCUCACUCGCCAUGGCAAGCGGCUGAAGGUGGCCGA